GUUCUUUGAUUUAAGAGUUUUUCAAAUAUGAAGUAUCAAAAAAUUGAAAAUAUGAACAUUAUUUGUAAUAAAUAAAUGUUAAACAAUUGUAAACACAACAUAUGUAGUAUUUACAAUUGUUUAUAUUGUAAAUACAUUACAUAUACAGUAUGUAUUGCAUUUAUACAUAUGUAUUGUUGCUUUUAUAGCAAACACAUUGGUGUCUGCUAUGAAAAGAGAGAGAUCAAAAUGCAAGACUUGAGAAGCAAAUGUACCAUGCCUUCUGUUUUUCUAUUCCAAUAAAACCAUGUCUUCCAUGAUGUUUAUCAUAGCUUUCAUUCUGGGAUUAUGUCUAAAACAUAUCAGUUCAAAUGUAUAAAAGUUGAUUUACUAAUCUGUUGAUGAUUCCUCUGAUCUGUGUUGGUGACAUGGGGAAUUUAUCCAUAUAAGAAUUUACCCAUAUUUCUUUCUUUUCUUAUGCUUUUCUG
rnacentral:lncRNA from 1 species